GCUCCGGCUUUUUACAUUAAAGGUGGCCUCUACAUGUAAGCUACCGUUCGAAGAUGAGCCCGCGUACCAUUAGCUUGUUGGUAGGGUAACGGCCUACCAAGGCUUCGAUGGUUAGCUGGUCUGAGAGAUGAUCAGCCACACUGGAACUGACAUACGGUCCAGACUCCUACGGGAGGCAGCAGUGAGGAAUUUUGCGCAAUGGGGGAAACCCUGACGCAGCAACGCCGCGUGAGUGAUGAAGGCCUUCGGGUCGUAAAGCUCUGUCAAGUGGGAAGAAACUGUUACGUGUUAAUAUCACGUUACACUGACGGUACCAUUGAAGGAAGCACCGGCUAACUCCGUGCCAGCAGCCGCGGUAAUACGGAGGGUGCGAGCGUUAUUCGGAAUUACUGGGCGUAAAGGGCGCGUAGGCGGCUUGGUAAGUCAGAUGUGAAAGCCCGAGGCUUAACCUCGGAAGUGCAUUUGAUACUGCCAAGCUUGAGUAUGGGAGAGGGAAGUGGAAUUCCUGGUGUAGAGGUGAAAUUCGUAGAUAUCAGGAGGAACACCGGUGGCGAAGGCGACUUCCUGGACCAAUACUGACGCUGAGGCGCGAAGGCGUGGGGAGCAAACAGGAUUAGAUACCCUGGUAGUCCACGCAGUAAACGGUGAACACUAGGUGUAGCGGGUAUUGACCCCUGCUGUGCCGCAGUUAACGCAUUAAGUGUUCCGCCUGGGAAGUACGGCCGCAAGGUUAAAACUCAAAGGAAUUGACGGGGGCCCCACAAGCGGUGGAGCAUGUGGUUUAAUUCGACGCAACGCGAAGAACCUUACCUGGGUUUGACAUCCCGAGGAGUCUCCUGAAAGGGAGACGUGCCCUUCGGGGAACUUGGUGACAGGUGCUGCAUGGCUGUCGUCAGCUCGUGUCGUGAGAUGUUGGGUUAAGUCCCGCAACGAGCGCAACCCUUGUCUCUAGUUACCAUCAUUCAGUUGGGGACUCUAGAGAUACUGCCCCGGUCAACGGGGAGGAAGGUGGGGGUGACGUCAAGUCCUCAUGGCCUUUAUGCCCAGGGCUACACACGUGCUACAAUGGGUUGUACAAAGGGUCGCAAACCCGCGAGGGUGAGCCAAUCCCAAAAAGCAUCCCUUAGUUCGGAUUGGAGUCUGCAACUCGACUCCAUGAAGUUGGAAUCGCUAGUAAUCGUGGAUCAGCAUGCCACGGUGAAUACGUUCCCGGGCCUUGUACACACCGCCCGUCACACCAUGAGAGUUGGUUGUACCAGAAGUUGUU
rnacentral:rRNA from 1 species